rnacentral:rRNA from 1 species
UACGGAGGAUCCAAGCGUUAUCCGGAAUCAUUGGGUUUAAAGGGUCCGUAGGCGGUUUUAUAAGUCAGUGGUGAAAUCCGGCAGCUCAACUGUCGAACUGCCAUUGAUACUGUAAGACUUGAAUUAUUGUGAAGUAACUAGAAUAUGUAGUGUAGCGGUGAAAUGCUUAGAUAUUACAUGGAAUACCAAUUGCGAAGGCAGGUUACUAACAAUACAGUGACGCUGAUGGACGAAAGCGUGGGGAGCGAACAGG